rnacentral:rRNA from 1 species
GGAUUAGUGGCGAACGGGUGAGUAACACGUGAGUAACCUGCCCUUAACUCUGGGAUAAGCCUGGGAAACUGGGUCUAAUACCGGAUAUGACUCCUCAUCGCAUGGUGGGGGGUGGAAAGCUUUAUUGUGGUUUUGGAUGGACUCGCGGCCUAUCAGCUUGUUGGUGAGGUAAUGGCUCACCAAGGCGACGACGGGUAGCCGGCCUGAGAGGGUGACCGGCCACACUGGGACUGAGACACGGCCCAGACUCCUACGGGAGGCAGCAGUGGGGAAUAUUGCACAAUGGGCGCAAGCCUGAUGCAGCGACGCCGCGUGAGGGAUGACGGCCUUCGGGUUGUAAACCUCUUUCAGUAGGGAAGAAGCGAAAGUGACGGUACCUGCAGAAGAAGCGCCGGCUAACUACGUGCCAGCAGCCGCGGUAAUACGUAGGGCGCAAGCGUUAUCCGGAAUUAUUGGGCGUAAAGAGCUCGUAGGCGGUUUGUCGCGUCUGCCGUGAAAGUCCGGGGCUCAACUCCGGAUCUGCGGUGGGUACGGGCAGACUAGAGUGAUGUAGGGGAGACUGGAAUUCCUGGUGUAGCGGUGAAAUGCGCAGAUAUCAGGAGGAACACCGAUGGCGAAGGCAGGUCUCUGGGCAUUAACUGACGCUGAGGAGCGAAAGCAUGGGGAGCGAACAGGAUUAGAUACCCUGGUAGUCCAUGCCGUAAACGUUGGGCACUAGGUGUGGGGGACAUUCCACGUUUUCCGCGCCGUAGCUAACGCAUUAAGUGCCCCGCCUGGGGAGUACGGCCGCAAGGCUAAAACUCAAAGGAAUUGACGGGGGCCCGCACAAGCGGCGGAGCAUGCGGAUUAAUUCGAUGCAACGCGAAGAACCUUACCAAGGCUUGACAUGGACCGGACCGGGCUGGAAACAGUCCUUCCCCUUUGGGGCCGGUUCACAGGUGGUGCAUGGUUGUCGUCAGCUCGUGUCGUGAGAUGUUGGGUUAAGUCCCGCAACGAGCGCAACCCUCGUUCCAUGUUGCCAGCGCGUAAUGGCGGGGACUCAUGGGAGACUGCCGGGGUCAACUCGGAGGAAGGUGGGGACGACGUCAAAUCAUCAUGCCCCUUAUGUCUUGGGCUUCACGCAUGCUACAAUGGCCGGUACAAAGGGUUGCGAUACUGUGAGGUGGAGCUAAUCCCAAAAAGCCGGUCUCAGUUCGGAUUGGGGUCUGCAACUCGACCCCAUGAAGUCGGAGUCGCUAGUAAUCGCAGAUCAGCAACGCUGCGGUGAAUACGUUCCCGGGCCUUGUACACACCGCC